rnacentral:rRNA from 1 species
UACGUAGGGGGCGAGCGUUGUCCGGAUUUAUUGGGCGUAAAGAGCUCGUAGGUGGUUCGCUAAGUCGGAUGUGAAAUCUCCAAGCUCAACUUGGAGCGGUCAUUCGAUACUGGCGUGACUUGAGUACGGUAGGGGACCACGGAAUUCCUGGUGUAGCGGUGAAAUGCACAGAUAUCAGGAGGAACACCGGUGGCGAAGGCGGUGGUCUGGGCCGUAACUGACGCUGAGGAGCGAAAGCAUGGGGAGCGAACAGG